CCCAUCUACUUGCAGCGACUCUAAAAAAAUCCCCUCGCAGCAGCCAUCGUACGCCGCCGCCACCAGCCCACAACGGAGUCCUGGCCGCCGGCUCCCCGUUGCUCUUCGCCUCCUUGGAAGGUCGGAUCUUGCCACUGCCCCGAACUCGCCGUCUCUCCUCACCCCAAUAUUUCAGCUCUCCCAUAGAUCCUCUCCGAUCCGGAGUUCCACGCGUAGGGCACCAGCAUGCAGAGGCAAGGAAUGCCACUCCUCCUCUGACCAGCUAGCCAUAGCGGCGUCGUUCCUCUGACAUGCGAAGGGGCUCUCCUCUCCCACCGGUCGGUGCCUCGACUUGGACUCCUACAGCCGGCACCUCCACUUCAGCUCGCACCGGCCGGCAUCCUCCGCCGCCAAAUCUUAACGACUUCGAGUUCCUUUGGCCGUCGUCAUGAACCUCCAAGCAGAUAACCCACCCUUCAUGUGUAUCUCCCGUUAUAUCUCCUCUCUGUUCUGAUUUUCAGAAAGAAGGUUGAUUUGUGGCCCGUUUCCAACAGGUAGAUGGGAUAGCAAUGGCCGUUCCUUGGUUGAAGGAUGCAAUGCAGCUCACUAAAUUCGAAGUUGUACUAUUUUGGACUGCCUAGAUACCCAAGCAGGGGAGAUAAAGGCUGCAAGUUGGGUAGAAAGCGGUCUAAUUCUCGGCAAUACUCUUUACUUGGUAUUUGAUGAUUACUCUUUACUUGGUACAAAGUUCUUGAUGAUUUUAAUAUAGUCUGACCCUGCUGUAGAAAGAAGCUUACAUACAUGCCUGGAUGUGUUUGAGAUGCAUUGCAGUGUGUAUUACUCUUUAGUCGGUAUAAUGUUCUAGAUGAUUUUAAUAGUCUGGCCCUGCUGUAGAAAACAGUUUACAUACAUGCCUGGAUGUGUUUGAGAUGCAUUGCAGUGUGUACUCAUAGGUGGUCGUGAAGGGCGACUAAAAGUAAUCCAUCAUCACAUCAAGUUUCUGGAAUUCCGGGGAUCAAAAUCAGAUCGAGAUGCCAAUGUCCUGUAUGUUGCUUCAGUUAUAUGGCUUGAGCUGGUCAAUCUGCAAGAUGAUGCAAAAAAUUGCUUGCAGAUAGUCUGUAUAUAUGUGUACAGACAUGCAUGUUGUAUGUUUAUAUCAAUUUUGCAAAUUGACAUUUGUUCAAAUGCUUCUAAGUAGUGCUUCGUGAAGUUUCAAAGUAAAUCUAAAUUACUUUGUGUUGCCGAUCCUAUUACUUGAUUUUUUUGCUAACUAUGUGUAUGAGUAAAUUUCCAAGAUGAUGCAAAAAAAUUGCUUGCAGAUAGUCUGUAUGUGUACACACAUGCAUGUUGUAUGUUUAUAUUAACUUUGCAAUACUGAUGUUUGUUCAGAUUCUUCUAAGCAGUAGGCUCUAGCAGAACGAUGCUUCCCUUUCCUUACUGUUGUUGCUAAAUAUUUGUUUUAUGUGGCAUAUGAGGACUGAACAACAUCAGGCCAACGACCUCACCCUGGGAGUCCACUUCUUUACGGUCACGACAUCUGCCUCGACAAAUUAUCUGGAGUUUUGUGUGCCUUUUUCUAGCAGUUGAGCUGCAGAGACGAAUGGGGAGGUGGACUUUGCUGUAGUUAUCAUGUGUUCUUGCAAUUAGAACACCUGGGGAUUAUAAGCCAAUAUACGAUUUAUUCAUUUUCUUUUAGAGGGAAAGCCAUGGUGUCCAGAUGGCUCAAGCAGUUCUGAUAUUUGAUAUAGAUUUGAAGGACCAGGAGAACCUAACUGGCUCAUUCCUAUACCACCAUUCCGAUAUAUACGGGGCAGUUCUUAAAGGUGCAAAUGUUAAAGCCAUUAAAACACCCUCUUAGGUUCGUAUACAUAAGCAACUGCCAUAUUUUGAGAGACUGGAUUUUACAAUGAUUUGCAUAGAUUCUUAUGAGGUUAAUCAUGAACUGCAUAAAGUUUUUUUUUUUGUAAAUAUUGAAUGGAAUAAGUAUUUUUAGGUUCAUUUAUAAUGAUAUAGUAUUUCUGUUUAAGCAGUGCCGAGUGUUAGAUGUUCCAUAUUUGAAUUAGCUUUCCCUAAAUAUAAAAUACUAGAAAGGUCUGAGUGGCGAGUGCUACUUCAUUGAAAUUUGAUUGUGCCUGCACAUUAUAAAAUACAAGUUAUGGUCCUGCAGGAUUACCUCCCUUCUCUAGAGAUAAUUUGCUUAAUGUGUUCCAUGGUGCAAUUAAAUUGGAUACAAGUAUGCAAAAAAUAUCUUAGUAGUAAUAUAGAAAGCACCUGUCAUUCUAAUGUACUUCCCACAUUUUACUAUUUAUGUUAAUUAGUACUUUGCAAUGAGCCUAAAAAUAGUACUAUAGGGAGAUGCAGGCAAGACCUAAUAUGUUGUCAUUUGAAAAUAAAAACUACCUACUUUCCAACUGUGGAUUUCAUUUGUACAUGUAAAAGAAACUAUCUUAGACAGAUAUAUGAUUCAUCAGGUUCAAUGAAAGUUAGCUUAAAUACCAUGUAUUUUUUUUUUGCACAAAGAUUAUUGCCUACUGUAUGCAUCCUCUUUACAUUUUUUAGUCUAUAGCGAAGUAGAAAAAAAUCAGUUCAGUAAUGCCUUUGCUCCAAACGAGCAAACAAUUGUUAUUAAUAAAAAUAAAUCACAGACUACUGAUUUCAUUUGUUUGCAGGAAAAACAUUGUAUUUUCACACUUAUGGAAAAUGAACUUUAAAUCACGAAAAAUGUUGAUUUUUUUACAAGAGAUCUUGAGGGUGAGAUAAUUUUCACCAAAUUCAGAGGAAUAGCUUAAGUACCAGGGCGACACAUGUGGUAAUUAACAUAACAUGGAUGUUGCAUUAUAAAGAAAUGAGUUCUAUCAUUUGUCAUGCCAUGGAAGUAUGGUUUGAUGUUUCCUUACUGUAAAGAUUUUUCUUCAACAUCUACAAGCUGGCUAGAAAAUUAUUGCAACUACAGUUCACAUCAGGUAUAAGGCGACAUGUAGGGCCAUCAUCUAUCUCCAUACAUCUUAAUCUCAUUUUCACUGACGGUUGCUUUGCUAUCUUAGUCAAUGAUUAUUACUGAAUGUAGAAACCACAUGGAGCUUGUGGCGUUUUCUGCUUUCUGUUACUAUAUAUAUGUUCGGAGUAAUGUAAGGUUUCUUUUUGUGAAGUUCAUCGUGCUUAUGGUACAAUAUUUAGCCAUACAAUUUCUAUUAGAAACCAUCAUCCUGUAUGCCUUUUCUUUCACUACUAUUUGUACAGCAAACCAAUGGAUCAACUAACAACAAGCUUAGCAUGUGGUAUGCGUAAAUAUCUAGCUUAGUACUCCCUCUGUAAAUAAAUAUAAGUAGUGAUCUAAACGCUCUUAUAUUUCUUUACGCUGGGAGUAGAAAACAUGCUUAGUACUCCCUCCGUUCCUAAAUGUAAGUCUUUGUAGAGAUUCCACUGGAUGGACUACAUACGGAGCAAAAUGAAUGAAUCCACACUUAAAAUGCAUCUAUAUACAUCCGUAUAUAGUUCGUAGUAGAAUCUCUACAAAGACUUACAUUUAGGAACGGAGGGAGUACAAUGCCUUCUAACCAUGCAGUAGCAGUUCCCACCCAAUGCUACUGUUUUGUACACAGACGAGAAGUUUGUUUGAGAAAGAGGAGCAUGCUUCCUGCCUUUCAUCCAAUAUUAUAUAUUUCUAUUUCUUAUGUGGAACUAACAAUUCAUGUCUCUAGCUUCUACUACUUUAUCGUUUUAGACAAAAGCUUUUGUAACCAUGAUGCUGGUAUACUUGUGAUACGGACUACAUGUGCUACCACAUUAAUAGGGUGAUUUAAAUAAAAGUACCUGAAUCUAUAUUCUUCCACAUUCCGCCAAUAUUCAGUAACAAAGUUCUAUUUUUGUUUACAAACCAGUUCAUUCGUCGCAAGGAAAAAAAUCUACUUGGUGUCGGGAACCAAAGCAACAACAGAUCAAGUUACUUGGUCGGAAGAAAUUGUCAAGGGUCGCAUCUUACGCAUGAUUGGAAGUGGCGAUCUUUUGUCUAUCUCACCUAAGUUACAUGAUAUAAAAGGUGUAGAACAACCUAGAAUUUUGCGCCUCAACUAUGUGUCAUAUUUUCUUAUUAUCAUAUACUUUUUUUGAGAAGGUCUUAUUAUUAUAAUUUGUAAUGCUUAUAAUUCACGAGUGAUAGAUUCUGAGAUGUACUAUUGAUGUGACCAAGGAUGUCCAGUUUUACUUGAUAUUGAGUACUGGAACUUAAAAGCU